rnacentral:rRNA from 1 species
UGGGGAAUCUUGGGCAAUGGGGGAAACCCUGACCCAGCAACGCCGCGCGAAGGAUGAAGUAUUUCGGUAUGUAAACUUCGAAAGAAUAGGAAGAAUAAAUGACGGUACUAUUUAUAAGGUCCGGCUAACUACGUGCCAGCAGCCGCGGUAAUACGUAGGGACCAAGCGUUGUUCGGAUUUACUGGGCGUAAAGGGCGCGUAGGCGGCAAUUCAAGUCAUCUGUGAAAUCUCCGGGCUUAACUCGGAACGGUCAGAUGAUACUGCUUUGCUAGAGUGCAGAAGGGGCAAUCGGAAUUCUUGGUGUAGCGGUGAAAUGCGUAGAUAUCAAGAGGAACACCUGAGGUGAAGACGGGUUGCUGGGCUGACACUGACGCUGAGGCGCGAAAGCCAGGGGAGCAAACGGGAUUAGAUACCCCCGUAGUCCCUGAGCGGGCUGGCAAGGCGCAU